UGCAGCGCCCAGGUGUGCUCGCCGCAGCCGCACAGACUUUACCCCCGACCAGUUGGGGAUGUUGAAAGCUGUUUUCGAAACGACCCCCUGUCCUGACUGGGAGAAGAUACAAGAGUUAGCGGCAAAGCUAUGUUUGGAUGAGUGUGUGAUCAAGACCUGGUUUAAAAAUCAGCGCGCCAAGCAAAGAAAACUGCAGCGAAAGGGCCAGCCCUGCCAGCCCGGCGAGUCCCCACCACCACCAGGUUCAGAGCUCAGCGCACCUUCGCAGGAAGAUCACGGCCCUGAGAGCUCCCAGGCGCAUGGCCCCGAGGCUGCCGAAGACCCGCUGCCCGCCGAUCUGCAAAAUAUCCAUCUGGACUCCUCAGCGCCCUGGGCUUCGUUGCCCCAUGACAUCGGGGAGCUGGUGCGCAUGUACGGCUUGUUCGAUGACGACGAGCCCGACGACUAGCAGAUAUCUGAACCCCCAGACUUCAAGGGCCAAAUUUUCCCAGUCCUAGAAAAAAGAAAGAAGAAAAAAAGAAUGAAGCAUGUAGGAGCCCCUGCCGGCGACCUGGAGACAGCCCUGAAGGGACCACUCCUCUGCCUCGUUCUUUGCAAAACUAAACGUGUUGGGAUUUUGGGGAGAUCUCUGGGCUGGUCGGAGGCAUCACAGCCUGGAGGCUGGUUUUCUGUAGUGUGUGGACGUUUUGUAAUGGUGAACUUAGAUACUUGUGAAGUGCCACAAGAAGACGAUUUAUGGGGUUCCUGAGGGCAGUCAGGCGGGCCUGGCGACCUCGCCGCGGCCUUGGCCCCCAGCCGCCACCAGAGUCCGGGGUCGCCGCCACCGUGGAGCGCCAGGGGGCGCCAUCGUAGACAACGCGAAAUCCAGGGCCGCAAGGGCGUGGUGGCCACGUUCGUGGGCUGCCGUCCUCCGCGUGCUCUCGGGCGGUGGGUGGGCAGCGGGCCUCCCCGGGCCACGCACGAGGGGACGGGCCUGAGACUCGGGCGCCCGGACCCGCUUUCCAGUGGUCAAGUUCUCCCAGAGUUCUCGCCUCUGCUUCCCGCAGGUCGCUAGGCGCCUCAGGCCCGCCCCCUUGCUCUUACUGUCCAAUCAGGAGCGAGGGAGGGAUUCCUUCGGGCUCCAGCAGGGCAGGGAUAUUUUUUUCUUUUUUCUUUGUUUGAAGGCAGAGUUCAGAGCGGUAGAGUUAGUGAUGAGAUAGAGGUAGAGAGAGAUACAGAGAGAUAGAGAUAGGGAUAGAGAGGUAGAGAGAGAUACAUAGUGAUAGAGAGAGAGAGAGAGAGAGAGAGAGAGAGAGAGAGGCCUGCAGUGCCUGCAUCCCGUAGGGGCCCCGGUCUUCCGAUCCAGCUUUCUGCUAUGGCUGGGAAGCAGUAGAGGAUUUGCCCAAGUCCUCGGGCAGGGCCCUGGGCCUGUGUGUGUGGGAGACCCAGACCCAGACCCAGAAGAAGCUCCGGAUCCAGGCUUCGGAACAGCUCAGCUCUGGCUGUUGUGGCCAUUUGGGGAGUGAAACAGCGAGUGCAAGACCUCUCUCUCCCUCUCUGGAACUCUGCCUUUCAAAUCAAUCAACAUAUCUGUAAUAAAAAGUGUUUUUUAAAAGGAUUGAUUUUCUUGUUACCACCACAGUCACGCUAAUUAACAUACCACCUCCUCGCUUUCUUCGGAUUUUUUUUUUUUAGAAAGUUGAUUGUAUUUUCGUUUUUAAAGAUUUUAUUUAUUGGGGACGGCUCUUUCGCACAGCGGGUUAAAGCCCCAGCCUGCAUCGCCAACAGCCCAUAUGGGCACUGAUCUUUCUUUCUUUCUUUUUUUAACUUUUAUUUAACAAAUCUAAAUUUCCAAAGUACAGCUUCUAGAUUACCGUGGCUUUUCCCCCCAUAACUUGCCUCCUUCCCGCAA